AUGAGACUAGAGUCAGAUGGACACUUGAGGUUGUACGACUGGGCUAAUGGAUCAAUUUUGUAUGAAGUAAUGCAAAUAAAUGAUUGUGAUUACCCAACAGUUUGUGGGGAGUACGGCAUAUGUAUCGAGAGCCAAUGUGUUUGUCCAUAUGAGAACUCUUUCUUCAAGCCGGUGGACGAACGACAACCCAAUCUUGGUUGCACACCAUUAACUCCAAUCUCUUGUCAAGAAAAACAACGGCAUCGGCUAUUGACCCUUUCCUCCAUUUAUUACUUUGAUAAGAACUACACAGUAGUGAAUGCCAAAAGCCUCGCUCAGUGUAAGAAAGCCUGCUUGAAGAACUGCUCUUGCAGGGCCGUUAUCUUCAGUUAUUACCACAACGAUUCAUAUGGAGAAUGUAUGUGGGUGACAAAGGUCUUCUCGUUGCAAUCAAUGCAGCCUGGUGAUGAUGAUGUCUACAGCUCCACUGCUUACCUCAAGGUGCAGAUUGAUAAAAACAAAAAUAAUGUGAUGUUAGGUGCUACACUUGGAGGUAUUGGUGCUCUUCUACUGCUUGCCAUUGUUGUCGGUUUUUAUCUAAAGAGGAGGAAAAAAUAUGAAGAGAAAGAUGAUUUUGAUUUUGAUCAAUUACCUGGCAUGCCGACGAGGUUUUCAUUUGAAAAGAUGAUCGAAUGCACCGAAGGGUUCAUUAAGAAGCUCGGAGAAGGUGGGUUUGGGAUGGUUUUUGAAGGGAAAUUGGGUGAAGAUACAGUUGCGGUGAAACGUCUGGAGGGUGCUAGGCAAGGAAACAAGGAAUUUUUGGCUGAGGUCGAGACUAUUGGCAGGAUUGAACACAUCAAUCUAGUCAGGCUAAUUGGCUUUUGUGCAGAGAAGUCUGAGAGGCUUCUGGUAUAUGAAUAUAUGUCAAGAGGGCCACUUGAUAGGUGGAUCUAUUAUCGCCAUAACAACGCCCCUCUUGAUUGGUGCACUCGGUGUAGGAUCAUUCUUGAUAUCGCUAAGGGCCUAUGUUAUCUUCAUGAGGAGUGUAGGCAAAAACUUGCUCAUUUGGAUAUCAAACCACAAAAUAUUCUCUUGGAUGAGAGCUUUAAUGCCGAAGUUGCUGAUUUUGGACUAUGCAAGCUAAUAGAUAGGGAUCAGAGUAAAGUAGUAACUAUGAUGAGAGGAACACCAGGAUAUUUGGCACCUGAAUGGUUAACAUCGAGGAUCACUGAAAAAGUUGAUGUCUACAGCUUUGGAGUUGUUAUCAUGGAAAUAGUAAGUGGAAGGAAAAAUAUUGACACCUCUGAACCUGAGGAGAAUGUUCAACUCAUAAAAUUGCUACGAGAAAAGGCUACAGACAAUCAAAUGAUUGAUCUGGUUGACAAGCACAGUGAUGAUAUGGUCUCACACCAGGAUGAAGUUAUUAAAAUGAUGAAGCUUGCAAUAUGGUGCCUGCAACAUGACAGCAUUCGAAGGCCUUCGAUGUCAGUCGUGAUCAAAGCAUUGGAAGGUGCGAUUAUCAUAGAAACUUUUGAUGCCAAUUCAAUAAUGCAUGUUCAAGAUAAUCCAUCAAGAUAUUCAGUUACAUCUCAGACAACAAUGCUAUCUGGCCCAAGGUGA
rnacentral:rRNA from 1 species